AUGUAAUCGUACCGUAAACCGACACAGGUAGAUGAGUCGAGAAGACUAAGGCGUACGAGAGAACCUUCGCUAAGGAACUAAGCAAUACAACGGCCGUAACUUCGGAAUAAGGCCUGUCCCGACUCAGUCGGGAUUACAACAAAAGACGCACUGCGACUGUUUACCAAAAACACAGCUCCCUGCAAAAGCGCAAGCUGAAGUAUAGGGGGUGAUGCCUGGCCAGUGUCAGAACGUUAAGGGGAGGGGUGCAAGCCCUGAACCGAAGCGCUGAUGAACGCCGGCGGUAACUAUAACCGUCCUAAGGUUCUCAAAUUCAUUCAAAUGGAUUUGAGAAAGACUGGGACGGUUGUAAAUGGUAAAUAGAAUGAAUAAAAUAGCUGCCUAUUCGCUUUAUGCGAAUGUCUAUAAACAGUUGGCCAUUUGCUGGAAACUCUGGAGUAUCCAACGAUACUAUGGUAUUAUAUACACAUAGAUUAUGUUUAUAUUAUGCCAAGUAAAAAAUCGAUUGGUGCAGACAAUCAGCAGGAAAGGCUAAGAAUUGUGGAUUGGAUUGUAGGCUUCACUGAUGGUGAAGGAUGCUUUUCUGUAAGCAUUAUAAAAAAUUCUACAACUAAAUCCGGUUGGCAAAUAUUUCCUGAGUUCGUCAUAACACAAGGUGCAAAGAGUGAAUCCGUUUUGAAGGAUAUACAAAAAUUCUUUAAAUGCGGUAAAAUUUAUGUUAAUCAACGUCAUGAUAAUCAUAAAGAAAAUCUUUGUCGUUACUGUGUAAGAUCAAUUCAUGAAAUAAGUGAGAUUAUCAUUCCUUUCUUUAAGGAAAAUCCUCUAAUGACAGCAAAGCGUUAUGACUUUGCAAAGUUUGUGAAAGUUAUUAGUUGGAUUGUUCAAGGAAAACAUUUAAAGAGGAGGGGAAUGAUUAAAAUUGCUAAAGUGAUUCAACAAAUGAAUCGAAAGGUGCCAGCAAGAUUCUUGGAAUCCUCAGAGACUAAACGCCAACUCCCGACUCAGUCGGGAAAAAUAUAGUCCCGUCUGCAUGGCGACAUGCAGGAGUGGUACUCAACACUCGUUCCAAAAUUUUGGAAUAAGAUUACAAGCGAAAUUCCUUGUCGGGUGAGUUCCGACCUGCACGAAUGGCAUAACGACGGUGCGACUGUCUCAGCGAGGGACUCGGUGAAAUUGCAAGAGAGGUGAAGAUGCCUCUUACCCGCAGUUAGACGAAAAGACCCCGUGAAGCUUUACUACAACUUGCUAUUGGUAUAAGGUUAUUUAUGUUUAGAGUAGGUGGGACCCGCAAGGGGCCGAUGAAACACCACCCUUAAAUAACUUUAUACCUAAUUUUCUCCCGUGAAUCCGGGAGAGAAGACAGUUGCUGGUGGGUAGUUUAUCUGGGGCGGAUGCCUCCUAAAAUGUAACGGAGGCGUUUACAAAGGUAGGCUUAGCUCGGAUGGAAAUCGAGCUGGACGUGCAUACGCAAAAGCCUGCUUUACUGCAAGGACUACAAUCCGCGCAGUCGCGAAAGCGGAAGUAAGUGAACCGACCAUCCUUCAUAGGAAGGUGGAAGAUCAACGGAUAAAAGCUACUCCGGGGAUAACAGGCUGAUCGGGCCCGAUAGUCCACAUAGACGGCCCGGUUUGGCACCUUAAUAUAUCGGGGUGCACAUACAGCGAUGUAUCUCCAAAAUCUUUUCGUAUAAUUGUUUAAUCGCAAUGAUAGGUAAAAAAUAGAUCACAAAUUCGGCUUAUAACGGAGAACCCGUCAGUGGUCGGUCGCCUUAGGCGACCUUAUCACCCGGCAACCCCGUGGGAAGUCGGUCGCGGCAACGCGGCUUGACCCCGUAACGACUGACCCGAAAGGGAAGACUUGAUCGCUCGGUUGAGCGACAGGUAAUACGCCGACGCUUGUUAUAAAAAACUCAGAUUAUGCGGGUCACGAUUGCCUCUGGCAAUUCCGCUACUAUCGAGAACAAGAUGAAGAUAUAGUCUACCCCAUAUGAAAAUAUGGACCAUGUACGAUGUCGGCUCAUCGCAUCCUGGGGCUGGAGAAAACAAACCUUCUCUCCUUGGCGGAAACGCUAAGGUAAUUAAACGAACCCAAAACGGUGAAAGCCUGCUAAAGUUUAUCAAAACUUUAUCUGCCCAAUGGUAUGAUAAAGAAAAACUAUGCAGGUCAACCCCGUGGGAAAGUAUAAUUUUGAAGAAGUGCAAACUUCGGAUUCUCUUUGAGAACUAAAAAUAAUGCUCCCGUAACGACUGAUUCUUUCUCACCUCGAGAAAGAAGAGAUAGAUGGUAACGAAAGUAACGGAAUUUAAGCCACUAUAAUACGGUUCGCACCUACAAGCAUGUUUGGCGACAAACACUGCUACGGUGAUGGUAUAGUCUGAUACUCCUAGUAAUAGGAGGCAACACAUACAUGAGGUCCCAAGGGUUUGGCUGUUCGCCAAUUAAAGCGGUACGCGAGCUGGGUUCAGAACGUCGUAAAUUUCUUGCGACCAGGAAAUAGUAAUAUUCCUGUAAAAUCGAGCUAAUAUCGGUGGAACCCUCCUCUCUAAAAUAAUAGACCGAAGGAGAGAGGGCAAUACCGAGGGAAGAGAAUUCGUCACUGUGGUUUUAACCAGCGAAGAAAAAGCAUAUAUUGCCGGUUUCCUUGAUGGAGACGGUUGUGUCAUGUUCCAAUUCAUUCGGCGUAAGGAUUACGUGAAUGGCUAUCAGGUGAGAGCGAGUCUUGUUUUUUUUCAGAAAGAAAAACAUCUCACAGAACUCACUUGGUUCAAAGAAAAAUUGGAAAUAGGCAGUAUUCGCCGCCGUAACGACGGCAUGGCUGAAUACGCCAUCGUUGGAAUCAAAGCGGUGUUGUCCAUUUUGGAACAAUUAGCACCGUAUCUGAUAUUUAAAAGACCGCAGGUUGACGUGGCCAGAAAAAUAGCCGCCUUGUUGCCGCGCUACACACGAUUAGAUAAAAAUUUAUUGUUGAAAAUUGGCGAGUUAGUCGAUCAAUUUCAAUACUUAAAUUAUUCUAAACGUCGGCGUAACACCAUGGCAUCAGUCAAGGCAUUUUUCGAGACUCCCCGUAACGACUGAUUUCAGUCCUGAUUUAGAUCGGGAUGAGAAUGAGAUAACCGCAGAUUACAGCAGAGAGUAAUGGUUAUCAUACGCUCGGUCCCUACUGCCGUGAGGCAGGGGAUAAGAUAUAGUCUGUGCCACAUGAAAAUGUGGAUUAAUAAACGGAGACAGUUCGGUCUCCUAUCUGUUGCGGGCGCAGAAUGUUGCGAAGGCUCUUCCCUAGUACGAGAGGACCGGGAAGGACGAACCUCUAGUGUGCGAGUUGUUCCAUCAGGAGCAUUGCUCGGUAGCCACGUUCGGCACGGAUAAACGCUGAAAGCAUCUAAGCGUGAAGCCGUCUUCAAGAUGAACAUUCGUUAUAGACCCCUUAUAGAUGAUGAGGUUGAUAGGCUCUACGUGUAAGCAUAGUAAUAUGUUGAGCGGAGGAGUACUAAUCGGUCGAGCGCAUAACGGA
rfam:Candidatus Magasanikbacteria bacterium RIFCSPLOWO2_02_FTLL_44_11 rifcsplowo2_02_scaffold_25144, whole genome shotgun sequence.